CCUACGGGAGGCUGCAGUGGGGAAUAUUGCACAAUGGGGGAAACCCUGAUGCAGCGACGCCGCGUGAGUGAAGAAGUAUUUCGGUAUGUAAAGCUCUAUCAGCAGGGAAGAAACCCACCCUCCGGGGUGGCUGACGGUACCUGACUAAGAAGCCCCGGCUAACUACGUGCCAGCAGCCGCGGUAAUACGUAGGGGGCAAGCGUUAUCCGGAUUUACUGGGUGUAAAGGGAGCGUAGGUGGCAAGGCAAGUCAGAUGUGAAAACCCGGGGCCCAACCCCGGGAGUGCAUUUGAAACUGUCUGGCUAGAGGGCAGGAGAGGUAAGUGGAAUUCCUAGUGUAGCGGUGAAAUGCAUAGAUAUUAGGAGGAACACCAGUGGCGAAGGCGGCUUAUUGGACUGUAACUGACACUGAGGCUCGAAAGCGUGGGAGCAAACAGGAUUAGAUACCCUUGUAGUC
rnacentral:rRNA from 1 species